UGUUGAUGGGUAACAUUUCUUCAAAUAUGGGUUUCAUUAACUUUCAUAAAUAACAAUUUCUUAGAUUUGUGUAUUGUUUUUCUGAAAUUAGUGGUUAAUUCUUUGGUGGCUAUAGAAUUACUACUUGCUUUUCAAGCAUUUAUAACAUUUCUCAUGUUGUUCUUAGUGCAAUAAAAGGUGCAUGUGUUAUAUAACAUAAUUACAUAAUUCAGAAU
rnacentral:lncRNA from 1 species